GCUAUUUUGGCAGAUUAGUGCAAUAAAUUUAGAAUUUAUUUAUGUAAUUUUGAUUACAAAUAGUA
rnacentral:tRNA from 1 species